CGCGUCCCGGAGCGGCGACGCCAGCCUCUCACCGCGGCCCCACACCCUUAUCCGCCAGCUGCUCUGAAGCAGUGGCCUGGACGCCGCUGCUCUGGGCGCGGGGAAUGGUAAAGCUGGCGGUUUCGUCCCUAGAAAGGAACCCGGAGCUGGGGAGGGCUCCGACUUCAGCGCGAGCCCUGUGACCCGGGGUGGCUGGGCUCCUCGGGCCGCAGUUUCCCUGUGGUGGAGAUCCCAGUAUCCCCGUCGGAAGGCUGCGCCCAGCAGCGGAGGCAGUGGGUGCACGCCCUGUGCACACCGUGCCUGGGCUAUCACUGUGGCGUCGGUGUGCACACGACACAGGCGCAGGGUGCCGUGGCACACAUCUGUAAUCCUAUCACUCAGGAGGCAGAUGCAGGAGGAUCACAAGUUUGAGACCAGACUUCGUCUGCAUAGCAAGUCGAAUGCCUGCCUGCCUGGACCACAUAGUCCUCGUGCAUUCUAGAGUACAGCACUGUCUGCAGCCCCUGCGAAGGAGAAGCUGUCUGGUGCCAUUAGCGUCCCUGAAGAGCAGUGUUUUGCAUGUCUGCUCUACAUCACCGCCCUUCCUCCAAGACCCGACCCAGUGACUGAGGAUGCUGGCCUCACCGUGCCUUCCACCAUGGCCAUGCUGUGUGUGGACAAUCUGGGCUCCUCUUUCUCGGUCUCCCCCGGGGUCACUCGUGUGACUGUGGUACCCAGCUCUGGAGGGUCCGAGGUGGUGUCCUCACGUGUUCCACAGUCAGUGCUGGCUCUCUCUCUCUUCUGU
ensembl:lncRNA